GGGUAUAGCUCAGUGGUAGAAUGUGUGCUUAGCAUGCAUGAGGUCCUGGGUUCAAUCCCCAGUGCCUCCA
rnacentral:tRNA from 1 species